UACCGCGGGCAAUCGGUUUAU
rnacentral:snRNA from 1 species